rnacentral:rRNA from 1 species
AGGACGAACGCUGGCGGCGUGCUUAACACAUGCAAGUCGAGCGGAAAGGCCCUUCGGGGUACUCGAGCGGCGAACGGGUGAGUAACACGUGAGUAACCUGCCCCUAGCUCUGGGAUAGCUCCGGGAAACCGGGAUUAAUACCAGAUACGACCACUUUAGACAUCUGUCGUGGUGGAAAGGAUUCCGGCUAGGGAUGGGCUCGCGGCCUAUCAGCUUGUUGGUGGGUAACGCCUACCAAGGCGACGACGGGUA